rnacentral:rRNA from 1 species
GUGAGGAAUUUUGCGCAAUGGGCGAAAGCCUGACGCAGCGACGCCGCGUGGGUGAUGAAGGCCUUCGGGUUGUAAAGCCCUGUCAGCGGGGAAGAAGGUUCGGCUCCGGCCGAGCUUGACGGUACCCGCGAAGGAAGCGCCGGCUAAUUCCGUGCCAGCAGCCGCGGUAAUACGGAAGGCGCAAGCGUUGUUCGGAUUUACUGGGCGUAAAGGGUGCGUAGGCGGUCUGUCAAGCGGGGAGUGAAAUCCCGGGGUUCAACUCCGGAACUGCUCUCCGAACUGACGGACUCGAGUCCGGGAGAGGUGGGUGGAAUUCCUGGUGGAGCGGUGAAAUGCGUAGAUAUCAGGAGGAACACCGGUGGCGAAGGCGGCCCACUGGAACGAGACUGACGCUGAGGCACGAAAGCGUGGGGAGCAAACAGGAUUAGAUACCCCAGUAGUCC